AUAUCCUUUGGAGAAUAAAUGCUGAAGGGGCAGAAGUGUGUCUUGUGGAGAAGAUUCAAAGGAGGGGCUACAAAGAAGAAGGUCAUCAAUAUAUUGAAUAAAGUGAGAAGCGGAGGGGUAGAAAGAAAGUAAAUCAUGAGAAAGAGCUUGGCUGAAGUAAUGAGGGCCGUCCUUGAAACCUUGUGGCAGCACAGCCCAGGCUUGGUCAUGUGAAUUACUUUGGUCAAUGAGACAUGAACAAAUAUGAUACAAGCAGAGGCUUUAAAAGACUUGCAUAUUGGAGCUUGCCCUCAUUUUCUGCACUUGGAAUUCUGCAAUUGCCAUCAUGUGAACAAGCCCUGGCUAGCCUCCUGGAUGAUUAUAGCCAAAUCACCUCCAUCACUCAAGGUGACACUGAGUCAACUGCCUGAAGCCAUCCUAGACCAUCCAGCUUCAGCUGAAACAGCCCAGAAGAAGAAUCAUAUGAAAUAAUAAAUUAUUGUUGUUUGAAAACUACUAACCGUUAGAGUGGUUUCUGACUCAUCAGAAACUAACAUAUAUUAUGUUCUUCAUGGCAAUAAGGUGAAAGAAAAGAUGCAUAAUUUCUUUAAGCCAAAAUUCGAAAGCAACUUAAUUCAUUGAAAGAUUUACUUUGUUCCCCUUCCUGUGUCCAUGUGUUCUCAUUGUUCAAUUCCC
rnacentral:lncRNA from 10 species